CUUCUUUCUCCCUCUUCCGUGGCCAUCUCUGGCUGUGUCAAGGGUCGGUGGCCGUCACCUGUUUCUCCUUUUCUUCUUUUAUUUUAUGUGUACUCGUUGGCUUGCGUUUUGUACUAGACGUUUCGACCCAAUCUACCUCGUUCUUCUCUCCAAGUUCCGAUCCCUUCUUCAACCAAUCUCUAUUUCGCUUCCACCUCCUUAUUUAUCUUCAUUCACCAUCCUUUCCACCCCACCUAGCUUUGUCCUUCCUCGAUCUCUCACAAUUUUGUAUUUGAAGACCAUUUUUCUUCACACGACUUAUAGCAAACCUCUCGGAAGAUCCAUUUGGUGCUUGAUGGAUGACGGUUGGAGCUUUCUUUUCCACCACUUAUAGGGCUUCGGUUGGCUAGAUCUCCGGUAUUUGCUGGGAUGGUGGUGCAUGGUGGCGGAUUCCGGUCCAUGGCGGUUGGGUGCAGGCUGCUUUGUCUUGUUUUGUUUUUUGUAUUUUUUGUCUGGGCCUAAUUGUAUGUUUGGGGUUUAUUUUGCAAUUCUAGUUACUUCAUCCACCUA